rnacentral:pre_miRNA from 1 species
AUAGUACUCUCUCCGUUUCAAAUUACUCGUCGCAGAAAUGGAUAUAUCUAGAACUAAAAUACAUCUAGAUACAUCCAUACCUGCGACAAGUAAUUCGAAACGGAGGGAGUAGCUU